rnacentral:rRNA from 1 species
AGGAUAGACCCUUCAGUGCCGCAGUUACCACAAUAAGUAAUCCACCUGGGGAGUACGACCGCAAGGUUGAAACUCAAAGGAAUUGACGGGGGCCCGCACAAGCAGUGGAGUAUGUGGUUUAAUUCGACGCAACGCGAAAGACCCUUACCAAGUCUUGACAUCCUCUGACGAUGCUGGAAACAGUAUUUUCCUUCGGGACAGAGAGACAGGUGGUGCAUGGUUGUCGUCAGCUCGUGUCGUGAGAUGUUGGGUUAAGUCCCGCAACGAGCGCAACCCUUAUGGAUAGUUACUACGCAAGAGGACUCUAUUCAGACUGCCGUUGACAAAACGGAGGAAGGUGGGGGUGACGUCAAAUCAUCAUGCCCUUUAUGACUUGGGCUACACACGUACUACAAUGGCGUUCAACAAAGAGAAGCGAAAUCGCGAGAUGGAGCAAAACUCAAAAACAACGUCCCAGUUCAGAUUGCAGGCUGCGACUCGCCUGCAUGAAGUCGGAAUUGCUAGUAAUCGCAGAUCAGCAUGCUGCGGUGAAUACGUUCCCGGGCCUUGUACACACCGCCCGUCACACCAUGAGAGCCGGGGGGACCCGAAGUCGGCAGUCUAACCGCAAGGAGGACACCGCCGAAGGUAAAACUGGUGAUUGGGGUGAAGUCGUAACAAGGUAGC